rnacentral:rRNA from 1 species
UACGUAGGAUCCAAGCGUUAUCCGGAUUUAUUGGGUUUAAAGGGUGCGCAGGCGGAAGAUUAAGUCGGUGGUGAAAUUUUGCAGCUCAACUGUAAAAGUGCCAUUGAUACUGGUUUUCUUGAGUGUGGAUGAAGUAGGCGGAAUUUGUGGUGUAGCGGUGAAAUGCAUAGAUAUCACGAGGAACUCCGAUUGCGCAGGCAGCUUACUAAACUACUACUGACGCUCAGGCACGAAGGCGUGGGGAUCAAACAGGAUUAGAUA